AAUAAAAAGCCCAACAUUAUUGGGCUUUCAGUCUUUAGAGUAGCCCAACUUGUUUGUCAAAAACAACUCAUCAGAGUCGAUUUGCAGAUUUGUUACCGAUUUCUCUCUCUGAAAAAAGGAAAAACAGCCGCUCAAGUUGAAGAUGGUGAUGCGAGGACAGCCGUUGGUCACCAAGCUGGCUGCGCUGGCAAAGGAUGUAGUGUUUCCGGUGACGAUAAUCGCUGCGCUCGUAUACUCGCCGCCCGAUUCUCUGCGCGGAAAACCUCAAUCUAAAUCCACUUGAUUGGGGAUCUUCCAUUUCUAUUCAUUAGAUGAAGAGGCUUCCGCGAUGGUUGAAUGCCCACCUUUUGGUUAAAGUGGUUAUGUGUUGAAUGAAAAUGGUAUGUAAUAAUUGUAAUGUUGUUUCAGUGAUGUAAACAACUUUUUCAAACUAUCUCAAUGCACUUCUGUUUCUUUCUUCA